rnacentral:rRNA from 1 species
GCCUACGACCAUCUCACCCUGAAUGCGCCCGAUUUCGUCUGAUCUCGGAAGCUAAGCAGAGUUGAGCAUGGGUAGUACUUGGAUGGGAGACUGCCUGGGAAUACCAGGUGUUGUAGGCU